rnacentral:misc_RNA from 1 species
AACGCAUAUUGCACUCUCUGGUAAUCCGGAGAGUAUGCCUGUUUGAGGGUCAGUAUAAUAUAAUAAUUAUCACGAUCUCACCGAUUGUGGAAUUGGGCUCUUAUUUCGAACAGAUUUAUGGCCUUAAAUUUACGCCAUGCGAUUAAUUCGAACCAAGCGGAGCAAUUAAACAUUCUCUCGUGGACGGAUACUCGCAAGCCAUUACGGUUUUUUGGACGACAAAGCGCUUUCGCGAGCGCGAAGCCCAAAGGACGUAAAUUCAUUGACAAAUGACCUCAAAUCAGGCAAGAAUACCCGCCGAACUUAA